GAAUAAGGCACUAUUUAUAAUGUUGUGAUAUAAAUAGGGUAGUGUUAAUCUCCUUUUCAUCCCUUAGAUUUAAGUUCCUUCUUAAUGUGGGUCGUUGGAUUUGGUGGAUGGAGGGACAAGAUGAAAUCCCAUUUUUAAUCUCGUGUUGCAUUAUAUGGUGGAUUUUGUGCAUUAUAUGGUGGAUUGUGUGCAUUAUAAGGGUAAACUAGUAAAACAACCAAAUUGAAAACCGCCCAAAACGGAAGGAGCGAAUUUUCAGCGAGAUUUUGAUACAACUUUCCAUCUACUCACUCUCUCUCUCACUCCAAACGUCUAUCCAUCUCUCUACGUCUCUGCAAUUCGUCUUCCUAUUUUCCACCACUCUUCAAACCCUAGCCGCCACUGUUUUUCGUCGGGUAUCUCCAGAAAGUGAUCGUUUUCGUCGGUAUCACUCUCCAACUCUCACUCCGGUAGCGCGCGAACAAAUUGUUGAAGGCAUCGACAAGGAAUCCCACCGGAUCAGAAGCAAUUGAUUUUCGCCGAAAAGCAGCUUGAAGAUGGCCUAACAAUUGCUGAUUACAACAUACAGAAAGAGCCGACUCUGCAUUUGGUAUUGAGGCUUAGGGGAGGUGUCAUUGAGCCUUCGCUUAUGGCAUUGGCUAGGAUAUACAUCAAGUAGUCUUCGUUGGCGCAUUCGUCGACAAAUUUUG